AAUCAACGCUGGCGGCGUGCCUCAGACAUGCAAGUCGAACGCGAAAGUCCCCUUCGGGGGACAAGUAGAGUGGCGCACGGGUGAGUAACACGUAGGUAAUCUACCUUCGGAUGGGGAAUAACAAUCGGAAACGGUUGCUAAUACCGCAUAAUGCAGCGGCACCUAAUGGUGACAGUUGUUAAAGCGGGGGAUCGAAAGACCUCGCGUCUGAAGAGGAGCCUGCGGCGGAUAGCUAGUUGGUAAGGUAACGGCUUACCAAGGCGACGAUCCGUAGCCGGCCUGAGAGGGCGGUCGGCCNCACUGACACUGACAUACGGGUCAGACUCCUACGGAGGCAGCAGUCGGGAAUUUUGGGCAAUGGGCGAAAGCCUGACCCAGCAACGCCGCGU
rnacentral:rRNA from 1 species